UCAAACUUGGUCAUUUAGAGGAAGUAAAAGUCGUAACAAGGUCUCCGUUGGUGAACCAGCGGAGGGAUCAUUACCGAGUUUACAACUCCCAAACCCACUGUGAACCUAUACCUCUUACCGUUGCUUCGGCGGGUUUUUCGCCCCGGAACAGGCUACCCCCCUCCCCGUCGAGGGGGGCCGCCCGCCCGGAACCAGGCGCCCGCCGGGGGACCCAAACUCCUGUAUUUUGCACGCUGUGGCAUGUCUGAGUGGAAUCAUACACAAAUGAAUCAAAACUUUCAACAACGGAUCUCUUGGUUCUGGCAUCGAUGAAGAACGCAGC
rnacentral:misc_RNA from 1 species